GGAGGGUGCGAGCGUUAAUCGGGAAUUACUGGGGCGUAAAGCGCGCGUAGGUGGUUUGUUAAGUCAGCUGUGAAAGCCCCGGGGCUCAACCUGGGGAACUGCAGUUGAUACUGGCAGGCUAGAGUACGAGAGAGGGAGGUAGAAUUCCAUGUGUAGCGGUGAAAUGCGUAGAUAUAUGGAGGAAUACCAGUGGCGAAGGCGGCCUCCUGGCUCGAUACUGACGCUGAGGUGCGAAAGCGUGGGUAGCAAACAGGAUUAGAUACCCUGGUAGUCCACGCCGUAAACGAUGUCUACUAGCCGUUGGGUGACUUGAUUGCUUAGUGGCGCAGCUAACGCAGUAAGUAGACCGCCUGGGGAGUACGGCCGCAAGGUUA
rnacentral:rRNA from 1 species